rnacentral:rRNA from 1 species
UUGCAGUUAAAAAGCUCGUAGUUGGAUAUCUGGGAGGGUGCCAAUGUCCGUCAACGUGCGUGUGCAGCGGCGCCCUUCCAUCCUUCUGUUAACGCCUCUGGGCAUUUACUUGCCGGUGGCGGGCUCAGAUAUUUUACCUUGAGAAAAUUAGAGUGUUUCAGGCAGGCUAGGCCGGAAUACAUUAGCAUGGAAUAAUAGAAUAGGACUAUGGUCUCUUUGUUGGUUUGAGGGACUAUGGUAAUGAUUAAUAGGGAUAGUUGGGGGCAUUAGUAUUUAAUUGUCAGAGGUGGAAUUCUCAGAUUUGUUAAAGACUAACUUAUGCGAAAGCAUUUGCCAAGGAUGUUUUCAUUAAUCAAGAACGAAAGUUAGGGGAUCAAAGACGAUCAGAUACCGUCCUAGUCUUAACCAUAAACUAUGCCGACUCGGGAUCGGGGGCGCGAACUAUCCGCCUUCGGCACCGUAUGAGAAAUCAAGGUCUUUGGGUUCUGGGGGGAGUAUGGUCGCAAGGCCGAAACUUAAAGGAAUUGACGGAAGGGCACCACCAGGCGUGGAGCUUGCGGCUCAAUUUGACUCAACACGGGAAAACUUACCAGGUCCAGACAUAGUAAGGAUUGACAGAUUGAUAGCUCUUUCUUGAUUCUAUGGGUGGUGGUGCAUGG